CAGCAGCCGCGGUAAUACGGAGGGUGCAAGCGUUAAUCGGAAUUACUGGGCGUAAAGCGCACGCAGGCGGUCUGUCAAGUCGGAUGUGAAAUCCCCGGGCUCAACCUGGGAACUGCAUUCGAAACUGGCAGGCUAGAGUCUUGUAGAGGGGGAUAGAAUUCCAGGUGUAGCGGUGAAAUGCGUAGAGAUCUGGAGGAAUACCGGUGGCGAAGGCGGCCCCCUGGACAAAGACUGACGCUCAGGUGCGAAAGCGUGGGGAGCAAACAGAAUUAGAUACCCGCGUAGUCCCUGUCUCUUAUAC
rnacentral:rRNA from 1 species